rnacentral:tmRNA from 1 species
GGGGGCGAAUCAGCUUCGACGGAGAAAUCGAAACAAUUUUUGCACGCCGACCACGUCAGCACGUCGUUAAAAGGAUGGCAAUUGUCUAACUGGCAAUGAAAACCUACAAAUGGCUGCCUAAUUAAUUAGAGCAGUCACGUUGACUCUUCCGAUGCGCGCUAGGGGAGAAGACGUCAUUCAGCGGGCUAGUGACUCUGGUUCUUCCGGGAUCAGGGAGCGAAUCUUCACCGGAACGGUUCCUUAUAAAUCGUGUCUUUCGGAGUUUAAAGGAACUUACGCAAAAGAAAGACUAAGCGUGUAGAUAAAAUUGUGUAGACUCUUCGGACGCGGGGGCAGUACCCGCCGCCUCCACAU